UACGUAGGGGGCAAGCGUUGUCCGGAUUUAUUGGGCGUAAAGAGUGUGUAGGCGGUUUGGUAGGUCCGCUGUGAAAACUCGAGGCUCAACCUCGAGACGCCGGUGGAAACCAUCAGACUAGAGUCCGGAAGAGGAGAGUGGAAUUCCUGGUGUAGCGGUGAAAUGCGCAGAUAUCAGGAGGAACACCGGUGGCGAAGGCGGGUCUCUGGGCCGAAACUGACGCUGAGGAGCGAAAGCGUGGGGAGCAAACAGG
rnacentral:rRNA from 1 species